rnacentral:rRNA from 1 species
UUAGCGGCGGACGGGUGAGUAACACGUGGGUAACCUGCCUCAAAGUGGGGAAUAGCCUUCCGAAAGGAAGAUUAAUACCGCAUAACGUAAGAGAAUCGCAUGAUUUUCUUACCAAAGAUUUAUCGCUUUGAGAUGGACCCGCGGCGCACUAGCUAGUUGGUGAGGUAAAUGCUCACCAAGGCAACGAUGCGUAGCCGACCUGAGAGGGUGAUCGGCCACAUUGGAACUGAGACACGGUCCAGACUCCUACGGGAGGCAGCAGUGGGGAAUAUUGCGCAAUGGGGGAAACCCUGACGCAGCAACGCCGCGUGAGUGAUGAAGGUCUUCGGAUUGUAAAGCUCUGUUUUCUAGGACGAUAAUGACGGUACUAGAAGAGGAAGCCACGGCUAACUACGUGCCAGCAGCCGCGGUAAUACGUAGGUGGCGAGCGUUGUCCGGAUUUACUGGGCGUAAAGGGUGCGUAGGCGGAUUCUUAAGUGGGAUGUGAAAUACCCGGGCUUAACUUGGGUGCUGCAUUCCAAACUGGGAAUCUAGAGUGCAGGAGAGGAAAGUGGAAUUCCUAGUGUAGCGGUGAAAUGCGUAGAGAUUAGGAAGAACACCAGUGGCGAAGGCGACUUUCUGGACUGUAACUGACGCUGAGGCACGAAAGCGUGGGUAGCAAACAGGAUUAGAUACCCUGGUAGUCCACGCCGUAAACGAUGGAUACUAGGUGUAGGAGGUAUCGACCCCUUCUGUGCCGCAGUUAACGCAAUAAGUAUCCC